UACGUAGGGUGCGAGCGUUAAUCGGAAUUACUGGGCGUAAAGCGUGCGCAGGCGGUUUUGUAAGCCAGAUGUGAAAUCCCCGGGCUUAAACUGGGAAUGGCAUUUGGGACUGCAAGGCUGGAGUUUGGCAGAGGAGACUGGAAUUCCUGGUGUAGCAGUGAAAUGCGUAGAUAUCAGGAGGAAUACCGAUGGCGAAGGCAGGUCUCUGGGCUAUAACUGACGCUCAUGCACGAAAGCGUGGGGAGCAAACAGG
rnacentral:rRNA from 1 species